ensembl:lncRNA
GAGGAGGGAAAAUAUGAACUUACAGAAUGUCCCGUGGAGAGCUUUAUGGACAGAACACGCCAAGUCUGAGGCAUGUGUGCCUUGCCCUGCCGGUGACUGACAGCCAACCAGGAAGGGGAGAGGUGAUGCCAUUCUUCCCUCUCAGGUGGAUGGAGGGGAGCAAGUCUAUGACAGAUGUGCACAGAGCUGAAUCACGGAUCUCCCAAGUAAACGGGUCAGUCUGUCAAAUGAAGGAUGUUUUCUUUCUGAAGACAACAUGUACACAUGAAAACCUGGUAUUCAAAGAAAAGUUACCGGCAGGAGAAAAAAAAUCCAUCCUAAGUCAUACUAACUCAAAGUUUAACCGUUACUAACCUUGGCAACCUGUGUCAUAUGCGAAAGUACUGGGAUGAUGCAGAACAUCACAAGUGUGAUUUCUAAACCAGGCCUGAACACAGGACUUCAUCUGGCUCUGCCUUCUGGAGGCUGGAAUACUUUGGGGGUCCCCAGUUGAGCAGCAGUACCCUGGGGAGUGAGCUAGAGUCUCUGCUCUCUGCUAGGCCUUCUGAAGAGGACAGCAGGUUUGCGGGCAAAGGCCAUCUGACUGGAAGGGACAGUGACACCCCGAGUUCCAGUCCUUAAGGGGAAGAGCAUUGGAAAAGGGGACAUGAGCCUCUGGAAAUGUCAUCUUUGUACAUGGGCACCACGAGUCAACUGAGACUUUGAAUACUCAUGACUUGAUCUGGCUCCGCUGGGGUGGUGAUUGUGAGACGAUCAGUCCUAAGUCCUGGCCCAUGACUGGAGAGGAGGCUCCAGUGCUCUGUGAAGCUAAUGAGGCCCAGCUGAGUCCCUGCAGCUGUGAGACGCUUCGUCCUACAACAGACCCGGUUUGUUCUAACCUGUAUUUUCCAAGAGCAAACAGAUACAGUUUAGGCUUGGGGUCUGCCCUGGUGAUGAAGUACUUGUGGCAUAUGUGGGUGAGAGGCUUGGCUUACGUAGGGUACUUUGGGGCCACAGUAUAAAUUAGGGGAACAACUGAGACUAAUUUGUAAAUUGAAAUAAUUACUGAGAGUUGCCUCACAAGUUACUCAAAGAAAUCUGGAGGGAAAAAAGCUGUCCUGGGCAAGAAGUUUCGAUAUGCUGUGGACCAGAUGUCAGGGUUUAAAGGGCUUUAUUUAAGGCUUGUUUAGGACACUUCCCAGGAUUCACAGCCUGUGCAUCCCAUCAGCUCUGUAUGGACAACUUAGAAAGAAUGCUGGCAACCUAGAAAAUCUUACUUGUCCUGUUUAUGAUUCCAGGCUGAGUGUUGACAGGUUUUAUGUAGGAGUGGCAGAAGUCCACUUGUCACACCCUAAACCUCCAAAUCACCAUCCCCCGCUGCCCCUACUUUCUCCCUAGCAAUGGGGAAACUCAUUUCUGAGAGUGAUUCCUGCUUGUAGGAGCUGAUGCUGGCUUUUGUCAAGUUCUGGAUGGCCCUGCAGUGCAGGAGAAACUCACACAUGCACCCAGAGUCUCCCACAUUCAGAACCGGUGAUCGUGCAGAAAUGUUCUCAUGUGAAAGACUCCAUCACUCUGAGAAAGAAAAAGGCAAUGCAGGUGGUGGCAAGGAUAAAAUCAUGCAGAUUGCUUAAGCUACUUGACAGCAAGUAACAUUCAAGGCUUUUUAAAGAUACUCUUUGCAUACAAUUAAUGUGCUGAUUACAACAAUUCAACAGUUUAAAGCAGCUCCUCAAUAACUUACGUUGUCAACACAUCUAGAAGAAAAAGCUAGACAAAUACUGUUCUGGAUAAUUGGUUUAUGAAAAGUCAAACAAAUUGAGUACCCUUUUGUCUUUAGUCAUCACCCUGGAGGUUUUAUGGGGGAGGGCUAGCUUAGAGACUCAUUAUUGGCCUGCCUGAUGGAACAGUGAUGUCCUCAGGGUCACUAAAGGGUCCUGACUCUGAAUGCCCUGCUCUGAGCUUUCUGAGGUUGAUGUGUUCAUCAACCUCUUGGUCAUCUCUGCUCUCUGUUGUCAUUUUCUGUGUUGACAAUGUAUUUCUAACAUAAGUUGUCAUUUUAGCCUCUGUAAUCAUAACUAUCUAAAAUUUGACUCCUUGGCUUCCUGGGUUGUUUUUUUUUUUUUCCCCUUUGGUGGUUGUAUUUUGUGCCUCAGUGUUUUCAUCUUAAAAUGGGGUUGAUAAUAAAACCUAUCUGAUUUGGUUGUUACA